AAGUCGUAACAAGGUUUCCGUAGGUGAACCUGCGGAAGGAUCAUUAGUGAAUUUUGGGAGUCCCUCUUAACCGGAGAAGGCCCAGCCACUACCUUUCAUACACUGUGCAUUUGUCCCUUUUUUACACCCUGUGCAGUCGAAACAGUCACUUUAUAAAUUUGAUAAUUAAAAGAAAAA
rnacentral:misc_RNA from 1 species